AUUGAACGCUGGCGGCAUGCCUUACACAUGCAAGUCGAACGGCAGCACGGGAGCAAUCCUGGUGGCGAGUGGCGAACGGGUGAGUAAUAUAUCGGAACGUGCCCAGUCGUGGGGAUAACGUAGCGAAAGCUACGCUAAUACUGCAUACGAUCUAUGGAUGAAAGCGGGGGAUCGCAAGACCUCGCGCGAUUGGAGCGGCCGAUAUCAGAUUAGGUAGUUGGUGAGGUAAAGGCUCACCAAGCCGACGAUCUGUAGCUGGUCUGAGAGGACGACCAGCCACACUGGGACUGAGACACGGACCAGACUCUACGGAGGCAGCAGUGAGG
rnacentral:rRNA from 1 species